UAGCUUGCGCAGCAGGUUCCAAACCUAGCGGGAAAACAAUGGCGACCACACCACCACCACCAUAUAUUGUUGGGGAGAAAGUGGCUACAAGCAAUGGUGCAUUGGUACAGGAUAGGAAUGUGAUUGAUAAAUGUACUAACGCUAACACUUACCAGCUGUAUCCCAUUUAAAAUUUUCCCCAGGAUUGUGAGCAGGAAGAUGAUCCCAGCACGAUAUCGGCACUAUCUCUUGCAGCCACCAUACAAGAUACUCAGGUGGGCAUGGCCCAACCAUCAAGAGUUGUAGCAAGGCCCCCUAGCGGAGGGAUAAGCGAGGUCGUGUCCAUAGAAAUAUAAUGUCAGCAGCUAGACGUGGAGGCUUCAAAAGGUGUUUCUGAAACUGGAAAAUCACAACCAAUUUAUCUGGAACUUCUGGGAGACACCACCAUAUACAACUCCACUGCAUUCUACUGUGAUACCUGCCACACCAGAUACACAGAAGCUUCCAGCUGUCCCAAUUGCUAUGACAUGAUCUAAAGGAACAUUGCUAUCACAAUAUGAAGUUAUAAACAUUUUCAAGGACUAUGAACAUUAUAAUGAUUUCAUCUCGAGAAAACGCUUCUCCUUUGUGAACUUUCUCUUGUGGUUAGGAAUAAGAGGAUAGGGAACAUUGGUUCUGCCCGAGCAUAGGGGUAUUGAAUGGACUAGCCCACAUCUGGAGUGCCCUUAUGGUACACCAGUCCUGAAAGUAGGUGCCCCUAUAGAAUCAAUGACCAGGUAAAGGAAGGGUAGCGUAAAAGUAAAAAUUAGAAACAAAGAGGGGAAGUUGAUAAAGAUGGAAACCAUAUUUGUUCAUAAGACUCCAUUUUGUUUGACAUCUGACAAGCUGUUUCAAAUUGUUUUCAGCUUAGAGCUGACACAGGAAAAAGUACAGACACUGCACUUUGUUUGAACCCAUAUUGUGAAGUUAUGACCUAUAUCUAAGAUAUACUUUCCUUGCAGAAAUAUAAUGUCAGCAGCUAGACGUGGAGGCUUCAAAAGGUAUUUGUCAGUUUGCGGUAUAGCAGGUAUGGAAACAUAACCAGACAUAUGUAGGUUACGAGCUUAGCAAAAGUCCCCAGUUGCCCCACAUAAAACCACAUAGACUUUACUAAGAAGAUAGGAGUUUAUUAACCAAUAGGAUAAGAAAAGUAUGUUAACCAAUAGAAUUAAAGAGAUCAUUAACCAAUAGGAUUAUGCUUUGUGUAAGGAAACUACGACACUGUAUGCAAAUGUGUAUCUCUUUAUAAUGUAAUGCUUUCAGGAAAUAAAGCAGCUCUACUCUGUUAUUCCUCACUAAA